UACGGAGGGUGCAAGCGUUAUCCGGAUUUACUGGGUUUAAAGGGUGCGCAGGCGGAUUUUUAAGUUAGUGGUGAAAGCCCGGAGCUCAACUCCGGAAUUGCCAUUGAUACUGGAAGUCUCGAGUACAGUCGAGGUGGGCGGAAUGAGUCAUGUAGCGGUGAAAUGCUUAGAUAUGACUCAGAACACCGAUUGCGAAGGCAGCUUGCUAGACUGUAACUGACGCUCAGGCACGAAAGCGUGGGUAGCGAACAGG
rnacentral:rRNA from 1 species